rnacentral:rRNA from 1 species
UGGGGAAUAUUGCACAAUGGGCGCAAGCCUGAUGCAGCCAUGCCGCGUGUAUGAAGAAGGCCUUCGGGUUGUAAAGUACCUUCAGUCGGGAGGAAGGUGUCAAGGUUAAUAACCUUGGCAAUUGACGUUACCGACAGAAGAAGCACCGGCUAACUCCGUGCCAGCAGCCGCGGUAAUACGGAGGGUGCAAGCGUUAAUCGGAAUUACUGGGCGUAAAGCGCACGCAGGCGGUUGAUUGAGUCAGAUGUGAAAUCCCCGGGCUUAACCCGGGAAUUGCAUCUGAUACUGGUCAGCUAGAGUCUUGUAGAGGGGGGUAGAAUUCCAUGUGUAGCGGUGAAAUGCGUAGAGAUGUGGAGGAAUACCGGUGGCGAAGGCGGCCCCCUGGACAAAGACUGACGCUCAGGUGCGAAAGCGUGGGGAGCAAACAGG